UAUAAGCAUAGUGGGAGUAUUAUAUACAACUAAAUUCAAUCAAAUGGACCAAUAGUUGUAAUAGGAUCAAAAUUGUUUUAAUAAAGAUUAAAAUGAAUAUUUAGAUGUGAUGAGACCUAAAAACCCUCAACCAAACCAUUAUUAAGUUGAGAAGCGUGAGAGUGCUUUGAACACUCUUUCGUGGCCUUCCACCGUGGUAGGCUCCAAUCGUUUAUGACUUGUACACCGCCUUCACCCUAUCAUGGGGGAGUGCAAAGUGCAUGCUUAUACUCAGGAGGAGUCUAUAUGCAUACUUGAUGAUGUGAGACGUACGCAACGAGAAUGAUCAAUAUCAUAUCAUUGUGAGGUUGUUUCUUGAACCCCUACCCGAACUUGCAUGGUGGGAAUGACUUAACUAAGUGCAAUGGAACCAAUAUCAUAUCAUUGUGAGGUUACAUUCUCUAGAGGCCAAAUAAGAUGGGUACUUGCAAGAGAUGCAAAUGAGUAAGCGUACUCUCUCAUUAUUAUUAAUGCUAGCCAAUAUCAUAUCAUUGUGAGGUGGGCUUGGUAGUAGUGAGUCUCCCAUACCCUACUAAGAGUUUCCUCCAAAACUCUCGAAUUCCGAUGAGGGAUAUGGAAUUUGCCAAAAAUAGUGGGUGGUGCUAUUUGAUUUAAAGACCCGGAUCAAAUGGCUUAAAAUCAAUAAAUUUAUAUUCGUUAUGUAUUAAUUUACCAAUAUAUUUGCAAACACUAUCCAACACUUGACAAAUAAAAGCCGAAUGCUUAGUUUCCGGACUUGGUACAACAAUCCCAAAGAUUGUCUUAAAUGGAUUGCAUAUGUACCUAAGUAGUCUCAUCCUCACAAUCUUCCUAUUGAUAAUGUACCAUUGGAAGAAUAUGUUAGAUCAGUCUAUCAUAAGGAGGACAACACUUUUAAUGUCAUAAUUCUUCACUUACAAAUCGUUGUAUGAAGAAAUAAGAGUUGUUUUGAACAACCCUUAGUCAAUGCAAACAUUAGUGCUUGUUUCUUUGUUAAAUGAACAAGGAACUUUAGAAGUAAGCACAAGGGCAUGGACACUUUAUGUGCCAUGAUUCUUCACUUACAAAUUGUUGUAUGAAGAAAUGAGAGUUGUCUUGAACAACUCUUGAAAGUUUGUAAUUAUGUUUAGAACAUAAUGGUUGGUUGACAAAAAAUAGUCCAUCAACAUGGACUUAUGAUGAUUUUGAAUCAUUGAGUGUUGAAGUGUUAAACCACUUCUAGAAACGGAAACUAGGCAAGGACUUCACCUUUGUGUCCCUAUCCAAAUGGUUCACUAAGUUUAUUGUAAACUAUAUAGUGAACAAUAACCACACGCUCUCCAAAUCGUUUGAUGUGUAUAACACAAUUGAAAUAAGUUUCAAGAGAGAUAGUGGGAGUUUAGGGACCAUGACUAUUGUAGUCAAAGGAGAAGUCAAAUGAAGAAGAUAAAAUUAGAUCCAAGGGAACAAACUUUCUUUAUGAAAUGAUGGACAUUGGAAGGGGUAUUUGCAAGAAAUGUCUUGCAAGUGUCAAGAACACACCUUUCGAAGGUGUUGUAAAUUGUUCUUGAAUAGUUCAAAACAGUUGAUUCUUCUACUUGAAUGCUUGAUUCCGUAUUAGUAACUAUGUUUUACAAUCGUUGUAAAAGUGUGAAUAAUAAGAAGUAGAAGAUAUAUGAGAGAAGAAAAAGGUGCUUCACAUUCGGAACGUGAAUAAAAUAAAGAUCUCUGGGAAAGCAGAUAGUACUUACUUCCUCAUAUGAACUACCAAAGAAAUUGGAAAAACCAAAGAUUGUCUUUACAUUCCAAUUUUAAGGAACUUAAUUCCGUCACUAUAGUAGAGAUGGAUGAAUGUUUUGUUUGACAAAACAUUGUUCUUUAUUAAAUCAAUGAUUGGAUUAUAGUAAUCUAAUUGAUUGUCUCUAUAGUAGAGAUGAUAUGGUAGUGUUAACUGUUUAGAAUAUAAGGAUGCUUAAAACCCAAAAGGUUGCAAGAUAGUGACUAAUCCCAACUGAGUUGUGCUACCUCUAAAACAUAAAUUACGAGUUGGUCAUAGAUGGAUGCUCUGGAUCGUUAGAUCUGGAUCCAAUACGUUCUUGUUAAAAUUGUAUAAAGGCGAAAUGUUAGAAUCUUUAUUCUUUUGGAAAGAAGAAAGAAUCACAAAGUUGUUGAGGUUAAUUCACUUAGAUGUUAGUGGCACUUGUCCACAACAUAAUACUACUCAUGUUGUAUGACAUUCACCGAAGAUCACUCUCGGUUGGACUAUAGUUUAUUUUGAAUAAACACAAGUCCGAAUACUUUGCAAAAUGUUUCAAAGAAUUCAAGAAAUGUAAGUUGAUGAGUAAGACGUCUAAAGUAUUUACAUCCUUAGAUUUGAUCCAAGGAAUGGUAACACUUUAGAAUAGUUUUCUUGAAAGAUAUCAAGGAAAGAAGCAUCAUAUGAUAAUGGAUUUCUCCAUAAGGAGAAGAACGAACUUGAAUAAGAUUUAGUUCAUUGGAUAUUAUCAAUUACCCAUAUAUAGGAUAGAUACUUCUAAGACAAUAUGAUUGUCAAUUAGAAGAUCUUCCAAAAUUUUCAUGACUCCAUAGGAUGUAGUUGGAAAGAAAGACAAAUCUUAAUCAUGUUAAGAUUUGGGGUUAUGUGCUAAUAAGCAAUAUUUGUUUGAUAACAAUCUUGUGGGAUAUCCUUAAAUUAACUUUUGGAUAUCGCUUCUAUAAACCAACUAACAAAUGUUGUUUUGUUGGGUAGUUCAUUGUAAUCUUACAAUAUGAUUUGCCUAAGUGCAAAUGAAUGAGAGAUAGAACUCAAAGAAUGGAUUCUUUGAGAGACAAGAUAAUAAUCAACAAAUAUAACAACCUAGUUCUUAUACCACAAGCUCCAAGGUAGUCGAGAAUGAUUUAUAAACCGUCUCAGUUGAAUGGUUUGAACUUUAUGACUAUGUCAUAGAGUUACACCUCUUAAAUCGAAAGAAAUAAGAAUGAAAAUCCUUAUGACUACAUUGAGUGUAUAUAUGAUAUAUACUCAAGGAAAUGGUAAAGUACCAUUUGACCCGAAAUAAUAAAACCUUCAUAAGCUAAUUGGUAGCUUAAGGUAACUACAAUCAAAAGAAUGGUUGACUUUGAAGAAACCAUCUUUGACGUAGUCUUGGUUUCAAUUAAUUCGAAGAUAGCUAGCUACAACUAAAUGGUGAUUCAAUGUUUGGACAUAAUAUGGGUUUCCGAAACCAUUAUUAAGAUAGUCUUAAUAAUAUAUGUCUAAAACUAUGAAUCACAAGACAUGUAAGUUGUAGAGAUCCAUCCAUCAUGAAUCUAAGCAAGCUAGUGGGAGCUAUGAGCAUCUUAUGAGAAAAUGAUCAAAUCGUUUGAUUUCUCAUAAAGAUGUAAAUGAAUCUUUUGUUUACUAGGUUUACAAAAGAUUAGUGGGAGUUAAUCAUGUUCCUAAAUUUGAAUAUAUAUAUAUAUAUAUAUAUAUAUAUAUAUAUAUAUAUAUACAAAUAUAUGAUAUAUUGAUUUUGGAAAUGAAAAGAAUACUUCUUCGUUACAGUUAUGACUUUAAAACAUUAUAUGAAGAUAGAAUGUAUAUGGGAGACAUAAUCUAUAUACAUGGGAUGGAAAUCUAUAUUGAUAGAUUUUAGGAUAUAAUUGGAUUAUAUCAAUCCCUAAUAAUAGACAAUAGAUGCUAGGAAGUUUCUCAUAUGAUGAUAAACUUCAAUUAGAAGGACAACUCUAGUGAGACUAAGAAGUUGCUCUUCUCAAAGAGAACGUACUCUUUGACUCCCAAAGAAAUAAUGCGUAAAUAGAAUCCUUUAUGCAUAUGCAUAAAGGUGAUUUAUGUAUUUCAUAUUGUAUGAAAAACAUUGAUAUGAGUUGUACCUAGAACGGUACAAGACGAUUUCAGUGCAAGCCCAGGAUCAGAACCAUGGCAACUUUCAAGUGAGUCCUUAAGUAUUUAAGAAAUACUAAAAGAUAGAUUCCUCAAAGAAUGAGGAAGAAUUAGAGUAACGUAAAGGAAGCGUAAAUGUAUUAGAUUAUGAAUCUAAUCCAUCAUUGGAUGUUUCUUCAUUAUGAAUGAAGAGAUAAUCAGAUAUCUCUUUAUUAUGACUAAAGAGAUAUUUGGAUGGAAACAUUAAAAGUAAUGACUUUAGUAUGUUCCAUUAUGAAUGCAAAAUAUAUAUUGCCAUAUAGAAGCUUACAACAUUGUUGUUUGGAUGGGAAAGUUCAUUUAUGAACUCUCUAUUCGGUUCCAACCAGAAAGUGUCUCUAGUGUACCGACACUACGACACUAAUGGGGCGAUAGCUCAAGCCAGGGAAUCAAGGUCUCAUCAAGAUCCGAACUUAAAUGAGAGACUGAACCACAUGAUUAAGAAUCAUGUAUAAUGUUGACGUCGUUAUUCUCAAGGUUGCUUCUAUGGAUAACAUAUAGAUAUCCAUUGUCUAGGCCUGCUAUUCAGCCAUUUAUGAAAUGACUACAGAAGAGGUAUCAUCACUGAUGACCAA
rnacentral:lncRNA from 1 species